AUACAUGCAAGUCGAACGUGAAAUACCUUCGGGUCGAGUAAAGUGGCGCACGGUUGAGUAACGCGGAAAUAAUCUGCCCCGCUGUCUGGGAUAACCUUUCGAAAGGGAGGCUAAUACCGGAUAAUAAUGAUUCCUUUCUGGGAGUCGUUGAAAGUUGCGGCGCACCGGGAUGAUUCUGCGUCCCAUUAGCUUUUUGGUGGGGUAAUGGCCUACCAAGGCGACGAUGGGCAGCGGGUUUGAGAGGACGAUCCGCCUCACUGGAACUGAAACACGGUCCACUUUCCUACGGUAGGCGAAACCCUGGAAUUUUGCGCAAUGGAGAGGGCCUGAGCCUAUAUGCCGCGUGAGUGAAAAACGGCCUCGGUUCUUAAAGCUCUUUAUCUUCGGGAACAUGAUGACGGUACCGAAGGACGAAGCACCGGCUAACUACAUGCCAGCACCCGCGGUAAUACUUAGGGUGCAAACGUUGUUCGGAAUCGCUGGGCGUAAAGGGCGUGUAGGCGGAACCAUAAACGAGGGGUGAAAUCCCGGAGCUCAACCACGGAACUGCUCUUCGAGCUAUCGAUCUUCAGAAGGUCACGGGCCAGUGGAAUUCCUGGUGUAAAGGUGAAAUUCGUAGAGAUUAUGAGGAACAUCGUAGUGAAGGUGGCCGGCUAGAGCCAUUCUGACGUUAAGCGAGAAAGCGUGGGGAGCAAACAGGAUUAGAUACCUGGUAGUCCACGCCGUAAACGAUGGAUACUAGGUGUCCGAAAUGUUCGACCAUUUUGGGUACCGCAGCUAACGCUUUAAGUACCCCGCCUGGGAAGUACGGUCGCAAGACUAAAACUCAAAGGAAUUGACGGGGGCCCGCACAAGCGGUGGAACAUGUGGUUUAAUUUGUCGCAACGCGCAAAACCUUACCUGGAUUUGACAUCCCGGGACCACUUCAGAGAUGAGGUUUUCUUUUCGGAGACCCGGUGACAGGUGCUGCAUGGCUGUCGUCAGCUCGUGUCGUGAGAUGUUGGGUUAAGUCCCGCAACGAGCGCAACCCCGGUCCCUAGUUGCCAGCAUUCAGUUGGGCACUCUAAGGAGACUCCCGGGGUUAACCGGGAGGAAGGGGGGGAUGACGUCAAUUACUCAUGGCCUUUAUGUCCAGGGUUACACCCGUGUUACAAUGGGGGGGCCAAAGAGUGCCCAAGCUGGGAAGCUGCGCAAUUCUCAAAAAAACCCUUUCAGUUCGGAUCGCAGUCUGCAACUUGUCUGCGUGAAGUUGGAAUCGCUAGUAAUCGCGGAUCAGCACGCCGCGGAGAAUACGUUCCCGGGCCUUGUACACACCGCCCGUCACACCAUGGGAGUUGACAGGGGCAGAAGACGUUGAGCUAACCGCAAG
rnacentral:rRNA from 1 species